AAAGAGGUGUUUUCUCCCGCAGAUUGUGUUGGCAGCAUUCGAUCAGACACGCGUGAAGUUGGAUGGUUGUGUAGCUAUGGAGCUAUUGCUACUUCGGUUAUUUGUCCCGAUGCGUAUAGACCUCGAGCCUAAGCAGUCUGUCGACGUAUUCAAUAAGAGCCACAUGGUGGGGUUCUCUCAUUCUUUCUUUCUGUUCCCGGGGGUACAGGUUUCAAUUUGCAAUUCAAUCUCGACUGGUUCAGGUUGCAAACUGAGUCACCGUAAUUGAAUGUUGAUGCCGACACAGCAGCCGCCUCUCUUAAAUUUGAUCACAGUCCGUAUUUAUGACUCGACAGUAAGUUUCUUCCGCCAUUUGAGUGAUUUGAAAUGAUGAACCGAUGAAACUCAUGAGCGAACUGACACAAAUUCUACAAGGUUCUACUGUAGUGAAGUUAAAAGUUAUUCAAGAAUGUUCAAACAUAUAAGAAUGCUUGAAAAGUAUUACACGACAUGAAAAUAGGAUGUACAUUUGUAAGGGAGGGAAGCUUUUAGUACAGAUCAUGAGAAGUCUCAAGUGACAUUGCUGAAAACAGAAAGGGUGAAGCAUAGCAUCUCUACUGAUGGUGACGGUUGUUUUGAAUUGGUGGGUAUGAAUAGUAAUGAUGUGACUGGAAGUGAUAGGCUGUUAUAGACGUCGAAUCUUAAAAGAACAGCAGCAUCAGGAGGAGGAGGCAACCGCGUGGGCAACCAGGUGUGGAGCUGCAGCAGGGCAAGUACAUGACAAACAAAACCCUUUCCAGUAGCGGCUCUGGAGAAGGGAUUUCCCAGCAUCCCAUCCUCAUCAUGGUCUAUCUGCACUCUGUCAGAUAGCACUGCUGCCAACACCCCAACUCCACACCACUCCACUGUGUGUUGUAUGCGGUAAAUUGCACCGACUCUGCUCCUUCAGACCAAAACAUGUCUCAUUGUCCACUGAGCUACACCAAAUGCUCAUAAUACAUUAGUUCCUCAGUGAGAAUGGCACCAACAGACAAUGCCCUUGUCAUGGUUCUGCUGCUGUUCACUAAGUAUUGUUGCACUUGUAAAUAAUAAUCACAUGAAGUAGUAAACAAAAUUGUCUUUAUUAAUGUGAGAGCACAUGCAUAAAACAUAGAAGUAACUGCCUAAAAUUAAAAGUGUGGGAUCCAAAAAACUUGAGAAGCCACUAGCAAAAAGUUAUAGGGUGGGGUCAUGUUGACUUAGAAUAGUGAUGACAUAAUUUAUUGGAAUAAGUGUUUCAUCAACACUUCCUUUCACACACAACUUCACUUCAUAUUAUUAUUGACCAAUAGAGAUGUUUUAUUGUAGGUGGCUACUGACAAAAUUAACAAUAGGUCUUUGAGCACAUGCAAAGAGUUUGACAUUGGUUGUUUCUUGUAACAAAAAUGUUCACUUGAUCCUAACUUCUAGAAAUUAAAAAAUAAAGUCUAUUUUUCUAAGACUAAUUUGCGAACUAGUUAUACAUAUAGAUUUGUUAGUGAUGAUAUGGUCGUUUUC
rnacentral:lncRNA from 1 species